rnacentral:rRNA from 1 species
GGGCAACCGAGUUGUAAUUUGGAGACGGGACACUAGAGAGGAGGAAGGCGAUUAAGUGCCUUGGAACAGGCUGCCGUAGAGGGUGAGAGCCCCGUGAAUCGCUGGAGACCGAUCAAUUAGUGCCCGCCGAAGAGUCGAGUUGUUUGGGAAUGCAGCUCUAAGCGGGUGGUAUAUUCCAUCUAAGGCUAAAUAUUAGCGAGAGACCGAUAGCAAACAAGUACAGUGAUGGAAAGAUGAAAAGAACUUUGGAAAGAGAGUGAAAUAGUACGUGAAAUUGUUGAAAGGGAAGGGUAUUUGAUCCGACAUGGUGUUUAGCAGCGGCCCGUUCCUCGUGGAUGGGUGCACCUGGUUUACACUGGGCCAGCAUCGGUUCUGGGAGCCAUAUACGGGGUUCGUGAAUGUGGCC